rnacentral:rRNA from 1 species
UGGGGGAAUUUUUGGACAAUGGGGGAAACCCUGAUCCAGCCAUCCCGCGUGUGCGAUGAAGGCCUUCGGGUUGUAAAGCACUUUUGGCAGGAAAGAAACGUCGCGGGUUAAUACCCCGCGAAACUGACGGUACCUGCAGAAUAAGCACCGGCUAACUACGUGCCAGCAGCCGCGGUAAUACGUAGGGUGCAAGCGUUAAUCGGAAUUACUGGGCGUAAAGCGUGCGCAGGCGGUUCGGAAAGAAAGAUGUGAAAUCCCAGAGCUUAACUUCGGAACUGCAUUUUUAACUACCGGGCUAGAGUGUGUCAGAGGGAGGUGGAAUUCCGCGUGUAGCAGUGAAAUGCGUAGAUAUGCGGAGGAACACCGACGGCGAAGGCAGCCUCCUGGGAUAACACUGACGCUCAUGCACGAAAGCGUGGGGAGCAAACAGGAUUAGAUACCCCUGGUAGUCCACGCCCUAAACGAUGUCAACUAGCUGUUGGGGGCCUUCGGGCCUUGGUAGCGCAGCUAACGCGUGAAGUUGACCGCCUGGGGAGUACGGUCGCAAGAUUAAAA